rnacentral:lncRNA from 1 species
GGGUGUGUGGUUUCCAAGGUGCUUACAAACACUUGCUUCAGAGCUGGGGCUUCUAAUGCCAAAGAGGGCCUAGAUGUGACGCUGGAGCUUUGGAGUUGGCAGGUUUUUAUGACCCCUAUUCCCCUUAGCCCCCUUCUUUCCAGGCUCAGCACAAGGAGCAGCCAUAUGAUGUUUACACACAUAGAACAACCGGAUUACGCAUCAAGGAGAUAGUUUUUCUGCUGAUGCCUGUGAAGAGCUGAAUGGGGACCACUAUGUACUACUCAGUACAGCAUCUGUGAAGAAUGGGAGCUGACCUCAUGCAUAGAGCCACCACGAAGUGAGCAGCUUCCUCUGCCAUGUACUCCCACCAUGAUGCACUGUGCCACCAAAAGCCAAAGGCAACAGGAUCCACUUACCUUGGACUGAAGGUGCCAAAACUGUGAGCCAAAGCCUCACUCAGAUGCCAAUUAGAAAGUGCUCCUGAUUUUCUGCCUUGCUGGUAAGGAGAAGCCCUUACCACUCCAGCAGGACCUGGGUACCAAAACUCUAGCAUAGGAGCCUAAGCCUUCUUGCAAGAGGAGAAGUGACAACAAAUUUAAGUAGAGAAGAUGAAUAUCUGCAUGAGCCAAGUGACUGUGAAGAGGGC